UACGAAGGGUGCAAGCGUUAAUCGGAAUUACUGGGCGUAAAGCGUGCGCAGGCGGUUAUAUAAGACAGAUGUGAAAUCCCCGGGCUCAACCUGGGAACUGCAUUUGUGACUGUAUAGCUAGAGUACGGUAGAGGGGGAUGGAAUUCCGCGUGUAGCAGUGAAAUGCGUAGAUAUGCGGAGGAACACCGAUGGCGAAGACAAUCCCCUGGACCUGUACUGACGCUCAUGCACGAAAGCGUGGGGAGCAAACAGG
rnacentral:rRNA from 1 species